rnacentral:rRNA from 1 species
AGCGAACGCUGGCGGCAGGCCUAACACAUGCAAGUCGAACGAACCCUUCGGGGUUAGUGGCGGACGGGUGAGUAACACGUGGGAACGUGCCUUUAGGUUCGGAAUAACUCAGGGAAACUUGUGCUAAUACCGAAUGUGCCCUUCGGGGGAAAAAUUUAUCGCCUUUAGAGCGGCCCGCGUCUGAUUAGCUAGUUGGUGAGGUAAUGGCUCACCAAGGCUACGAUCAGUAGCUGGUCUGCGAGGAUGACCAGCCACAUUGGGACUGAGACACGGCCCAAACUCCUACGGGAGGCAGCAGUGGGGAAUCUUGCGCAAUGGGCGAAAGCCUGACGCAGCCAUGCCGCGUGGAUGAUGAAGGUCUUAGGAUUGUAAAAUCCUUUCACCGGUGAAGAUAAUGACUGUAGCCGGAGAAGAAGCCCCGGCUAACUUCGUGCCAGCCGCCGCGGUAAUAC